UACGAGGGGGUGCAAGCGUUGCUCGGAAUUAUUGGGCGUAAAGGGUUGGUAGGUGGUCUUGUUUGUCUAGGGUGAAAUCCCAUGGCUUAACUGUGGAAGUGCCCUAGAAACGGCAAGACUAGAGUCCUAGAGGGGUUUGUGGAAUUCCCGGUGUAGCGGUGAAAAUGCGUAGAGAUCGGGGAGGAACACCAGCGGCGAAGGCGGCAAACUGGAUAGGCACUGACACUCAAACAACGAAAAGCGUGGGGGAGCAAACAG
rnacentral:rRNA from 1 species